UACGUAGGCAGCAAGCGUUGUUCGGAAUUACUGGGCGUAAAGAGUGUGUAGGCGGUGCUCUAAGUUCGGUGUGAAAUCUCCCGCUUAACUGGGAGGGUGCGCCGGAAACUGGAGUGCUCGAGCGUGGGAGAGGAAAGCGGAAUUCCUGGUGUAGCGGUGAAAUGCGUAGAUAUCAGGAGGAACACCUGCGGUGUAGACGGCUUUCUGGACCAUUGCUGACGCUGAGACACGAAAGCGUGGGGAGCAAACAGG
rnacentral:rRNA from 1 species